rnacentral:rRNA from 1 species
UGGGCGCAGCCUGAUGCAGCCAUGCCGCGUGUGUGAAGAAGGCCUUCGGGUUGUAAAGCACUUUCAGUCGUGAGGAAGGUAGUGUAGUUAAUAGCUGCAUUAUUUGACGUUAGCGACAGAAGAAGCACCGGCUAACUCCGUGCCAGCAGCCGCGGUAAUACGGAGGGUGCGAGCGUUAAUCGGAAUUACUGGGCGUAAAGCGCAUGCAGGUGGUUUGUUAAGUCAGAUGUGAAAGCCCGGGGCUCAACCUCGGAAUAGCAUUUGAAACUGGCAGACUAGAGUACUGUAGAGGGGGGUAGAAUUUCAGGUGUAGCGGUGAAAUGCGUAGAGAUCUGAAGGAAUACCGGUGGCGAAGGCGGCCCCCUGGACAGAUACUGACACUCAGAUGCGAAAGCGUGGGGAGCAAACAGGAUUAGAUACCCUGGUAGUCCACGCCGUAAACGAUGUCUACUUGGAGGUUGUGGCCUUGAGCCGUGGCUUUCGGAGCUAACGCGUUAAGUAGACCGCCUGGG